UCAAGUGAAGAAGCGCAUACGGUGGAUGCCUUGGCAGUCAGAGGCGAUGAAAGACGUGGUAGCCUGCGAAAAGCUUCGGGGAGUCGGCAAACAGACUUUGAUCCGGAGAUCUCUGAAUGGGGGAGCCCACCUAGGAUAACCUAGGUAUCUUGUACUGAAUCCAUAGGUGCAAGAGGCGAACCAGGGGAACUGAAACAUCUAAGUACCCUGAGGAAAAGAAAUCAACCGAGAUUCCCUUAGUAGUGGCGAGCGAACGGGGAUUAGCCCUUAAGCUUCAUUGAUUUUAGCGGAACGCUCUGGAAAGUGCGGCCAUAGUGGGUGAUAGCCCCGUACGCGAAAGGAUCUUUGAAGUGAAAUCGAGUAGGACGGAGCACGAGAAACUUUGUCUGAACAUGGGGGGACCAUCCUCCAAGGCUAAAUACUACUGACUGACCGAUAGUGAACCAGUACCGUGAGGGAAAGGCGAAAAGAACCCCGGAGAGGGGAGUGAAAUAGAACCUGAAACCGUAUGCGUACAAGCAGUGGGAGCCUACUUGUUAGGUGACUGCGUACCUUUUGUAUAAUGGGUCAGCGACUUAUAUUCAGUGGCAAGCUUAACCGUAUAGGGUAGGCGUAGCGAAAGCGAGUCUUAAUAGGGCGUUUAGUCGCUGGGUAUAGACCCGAAACCGGGCGAUCUAUCCAUGAGCAGGUUGAAGGUUAGGUAACACUGACUGGAGGACCGAACCCACUCCCGUUGAAAAGGUAGGGGAUGACUUGUGGAUCGGAGUGAAAGGCUAAUCAAGCUCGGAGAUAGCUGGUUCUCCUCGAAAGCUAUUUAGGUAGCGCCUCAUGUAUCACUCUGGGGGGUAGAGCACUGUUUCGGCUAGGGGGUCAUCCCGACUUACCAAACCGAUGCAAACUCCGAAUACCCAGAAGUGCCGAGCAUGGGAGACACACGGCGGGUGCUAACGUCCGUCGUGAAAAGGGAAACAACCCAGACCGCCAGCUAAGGUCCCAAAGUUGUGGUUAAGUGGUAAACGAUGUGGGAAGGCUUAGACAGCUAGGAGGUUGGCUUAGAAGCAGCCAUCCUUUAAAGAAAGCGUAAUAGCUCACUAGUCGAGUCGGCCUGCGCGGAAGAUGUAACGGGGCUCAAACCACACACCGAAGCUGCGGGUGUCACGUAAGUGACGCGGUAGAGGAGCGUUCUGUAAGCCUGUGAAGGUGAGUUGAGAAGCUUGCUGGAGGUAUCAGAAGUGCGAAUGCUGACAUGAGUAACGACAAUGGGUGUGAAAAACACCCACGCCGAAAGACCAAGGGUUCCUGCGCAACGUUAAUCGACGCAGGGUUAGUCGGUUCCUAAGGCGAGGCUGAAAAGCGUAGUCGAUGGGAAACAGGUUAAUAUUCCUGUACUUCUGGUUACUGCGAUGGAGGGACGGAGAAGGCUAGGCCAGCUUGGCGUUGGUUGUCCAAGUUUAAGGUGGUAGGCUGAAAUCUUAGGUAAAUCCGGGGUUUCAAGGCCGAGAGCUGAUGACGAGUCGUCUUUUAGAUGACGAAGUGGUUGAUGCCAUGCUUCCAAGAAAAGCUUCUAAGCUUCAGGUAACCAGGAACCGUACCCCAAACCGACACAGGUGGUCGGGUAGAGAAUACCAAGGCGCUUGAGAGAACUCGGGUGAAGGAACUAGGCAAAAUGGCACCGUAACUUCGGGAGAAGGUGCGCCGGCUAGGGUGAAGGAUUUACUCCGUAAGCUCUGGCUGGUCGAAGAUACCAGGCCGCUGCGACUGUUUAUUAAAAACACAGCACUCUGCAAACACGAAAGUGGACGUAUAGGGUGUGACGCCUGCCCGGUGCCGGAAGGUUAAUUGAUGGGGUUAGCGCAAGCGAAGCUCUUGAUCGAAGCCCCGGUAAACGGCGGCCGUAACUAUAACGGUCCUAAGGUAGCGAAAUUCCUUGUCGGGUAAGUUCCGACCUGCACGAAUGGCGUAACGAUGGCGGCGCUGUCUCCACCCGAGACUCAGUGAAAUUGAAAUCGCUGUGAAGAUGCAGUGUAUCCGCGGCUAGACGGAAAGACCCCGUGAACCUUUACUGUAGCUUUGCACUGGACUUUGAGCCUGCUUGUGUAGGAUAGGUGGGAGGCUUUGAAGCGUGGACGCCAGUUCGCGUGGAGCCAUCCUUGAAAUACCACCCUGGCAUGCUUGAGGUUCUAACUCUGGUCCGUAAUCCGGAUCGAGGACAGUGUAUGGUGGGCAGUUUGACUGGGGCGGUCUCCUCCUAAAGAGUAACGGAGGAGUACGAAGGUGCGCUCAGACCGGUCGGAAAUCGGUCGCAGAGUAUAAAGGCAAAAGCGCGCUUGACUGCGAGACAGACACGUCGAGCAGGUACGAAAGUAGGUCUUAGUGAUCCGGUGGUUCUGUAUGGAAGGGCCAUCGCUCAACGGAUAAAAGGUACUCCGGGGAUAACAGGCUGAUACCGCCCAAGAGUUCAUAUCGACGGCGGUGUUUGGCACCUCGAUGUCGGCUCAUCACAUCCUGGGGCUGAAGCCGGUCCCAAGGGUAUGGCUGUUCGCCAUUUAAAGUGGUACGCGAGCUGGGUUUAGAACGUCGUGAGACAGUUCGGUCCCUAUCUGCCGUGGACGUUUGAGAUUUGAGAGGGGCUGCUCCUAGUACGAGAGGACCGGAGUGGACGAACCUCUGGUGUUCCGGUUGUCACGCCAGUGGCAUUGCCGGGUAGCUAUGUUCGGAAAAGAUAACCGCUGAAAGCAUCUAAGCGGGAAACUUGCCUCAAGAUGAGAUCUCACUGGGAACUUGAUUCCCCUGAAGGGCCGUCGAAGACUACGACGUUGAUAGGCUGGGUGUGUAAGCGUUGUGAGGCGUUGAGCUAACCAGUACUAAUUGCCCGUGAGGCUUGACCAU
rnacentral:rRNA from 1 species